rnacentral:rRNA from 1 species
UACGUAGGGGGCAAGCGUUGUCCGGAUUCAUUGGGCGUAAAGAGCGUGUAGGCGGCCAGGUAGGUCGGUUGUGAAAACUGGACGCUCAACCUUUGAAAGCCGGUGGAUACUGCAUGACUAGAGUACGGAAGAGGCGAGUGGAAUUCCUGGUGUAGCGGUGGAAUGCGCAGAUAUCAGGAGGAACACCAAUAGCGAAGGCAGCUCGCUGGGACGUUACUGACACUGAGGCGCGAAAGCGUGGGGAGCGAACAGG